rnacentral:tRNA from 1 species
UGGCCCGUGGUGUAAAGGUAGCACAAGUGUUUUUGGUACACUUAGUCAUGGUUCGAAUCCAUGCGGGCCAG